AAAGGCAGAUUCCCAGGCCCCCUCAAGCCUCCUCAAUGAAAGUAGCUGGAGACGGAGCCCAGGAAUCUGCAUUUUU
rnacentral:miRNA from 1 species